rnacentral:pre_miRNA from 1 species
GAUUUCAACUGAAAAAGUUAUUAAUAACAAAGUGCUAUAACUCAUCAAGACCUAUAACUUUUUUUGGGUCAUUUCUUCAUCCGACAAAGUGGUUUGUAACAUUAUUCAUAAAAUGUACAUAUAUAGUUAUAAACUAUAGGAGAGAUAUGUAAAUUUUAUGAAUAAUGUUACUAUCACUUUAUCGGAUGAAGAAAUAAUCAAAACAAAAGUUAUAGGUAUUGAUGAGUUAUACAAUUUUGAUGUUGAUGACGUUUUCAGUUGAAAUC